UUUUUUUUUCUUUUCUUUUAGGGCUGCACCUGCAGCAUAAGGAUGUUCCCAGGCUGGGGGUCGAAUCGGAGCUGUAGCCACCAGCCUACACUACAGCCACAGCAACACGGGAUCCGAGCUGCCUCUGCCACCUACACCACAGCUCAUGGCAACGCCGGAUCCUUAACCCACUGAGCGAGACCAGAGAUCAAACUCGCACCCUCUUGGACACUAGCUGGGUUUAUAACCCACGGAAUCACGAGAACUCCCAGAGGUGUAUAAUCUUUAUGUCCUUUUAAACAGCUGCUUUUAGGAUCAUUUGUUACCUGGCAAGAGGCGACGGACACAAAUUCAUACUUUGUAACAGAACGUGAAUCUCUUCCCAGGAGCUGUUUUUCCCGCUUCCAUCCAGGGCUUCGGUUCUUUCCACGAACGCUCGGCGGACAGCCCGCGGGAUCAACACGGCUUCCACCACCUUUGCGGAUUCGGGCAACCGUUCUGUGAGCCGGAUGCCACCUUCAUGUGACCAGGGAGCCAGUGCUCAGGGAAUCUGAGUGACUGGUCCAGAGUCACCCACACGGGUAGCUGUCUUAGCUUCCCGGCGCUGCUGUAAGCACAGACGUUGGGACUUUCAGUGACCCGGAGUCCCUCUCUUGCAAAACUGUAGAGGUUGGCUGUCCCAGAGAGCGCUUACGGGGCGACAUUCAUGGUGUGGGCAGGCUGGUGUUCCAGGGCCCAUCCGAUCCCUAGUCUGCAGAUUCCUGGUUUCACGGUCCCCUUCUCUGCCUGCAAAGCCAGCAGUGCUGGGCUGAGUCCUUCUCGCAGAGUCAUUCUGCUCUCAUCCUCCGCUGCUUCCUCCCCUUUGAAGAACCCCUGCGGUUACAGCCAGCCCACCUGGAUAGUCCACCAGCCUCUUCCUUUUUUUUUUUUUCUUUUCUUUUUACGGCUGCACCUGAAGCACAUAGACAAGUUCCCAGAAAAAAAAAAAAAAAAAAGGUUGUCGGCCAAGUCUUGGGGUUCUUCCAUUAAAACAGGGACAGGUCUCUUGACUCCAACUCUGCUCACCUCCCAGUGGUCCUGAACCUGCAGGCAGCAGGGUUCCCCAUGAAGAAUUCAAUGUUGCUCCCGACAUAGAAGCUGCAAGGAGUAAUCCAGUCUAGAUCUUAGUCCACUAUGUCCUGACCCUAAGAUUCCCAAAGGGUGAAAACCCCACCACGAAAUCGAACACAAGAACGAGGCAGCUCUUGAAGGAAAACGGAGAAGGGAGGCAGCAGCCAAGGGGCGAGGGGGGCUCUUUACAGGUUGUUGCGGGCUGUGCAGGCAAGAGCCUGCAUGCGGCAGAGCAGAAGUCACUAAGGAGGAAUCCAGCAGCCCCCCGCGGUGCUCAGAGGCUCAGGGGAUGCGUGGGUGUGUAAAGCAUGAGGUCACCCUCAACAGGGUGUCAAACCCACACUGUUGGCUGCAAACCGGCUCCCCACACACUCCUACCAUUGGAACGUGCAUUUCUGCAGGGAAAGCGAGUUCUAAAAAUGGACAAGCUGGUCCAUCUGGCCGCCACCUGUCCUAAAGGAUGCCUGUUUUUAGGAUGGGUGAUGCCCUCCACGGCUUUAGCGGGUGGAACGUCGAGGUGUCCUGUGACUGGUGUACAGACGGGGUGUCUGGUCGGCUGGGGAGAGAAGAUGCUAGAAGCUGGCAGGAAAUACCAGGGUGGGAGUGUAUAAACCACCCAGGAUGGGAACAGGGCAGCUUCCUGGGAACCCAAGGUCUGCCUAGGGAGGAACACCCACUCACACCUGGUGUGGAAAAGUGGGUUUUAUUUGCCCCCCAAGACAAGGAGAACCGACAGGAUGACGCAAGCUGCCAAUGAAGCUCAGCCUGAAGCACAUUUACAGAAAUGCAAAAUCAUUUCUUUCAGAUAUCAGGGACGGUAGGUUACGGGAAUAAUCCACCAGUGAUAAUCAUGAGCGAAUAAAGAAGAUGCGGUACGUGCAGAAAGUGGAAUACUACUCGGCCAUGAAAAAGAAUGAAAUCAUGCCCAGUGCUGCAACAUACAUACCACAGGAGAUCACUUAUCUGUGGAAUCUAAAAUACGGCACAAAUGAAGCUAUCUAUAGAACAGAAACAAUCAAAGACAGGAAAAAAAAGGUAAGGUUACCAAAGGGGAGGGGGAGGGAUAAAUUAAGAGGGUGGGAUUAACACAUACACACCACUAGAUAUAACAUCGAUAAGUAUCAAGGACCUCCUUACAGCCCAGGGAACCCCACUCAAUAUUCUCUAAUAACCUAUAUCGAAAAGAAUCUGAAAAAGGAUGCAUGAGUAUAUACGACUGAGCCACUCUGCUGUACACCUGAAACUAAGACAGCAUUGGUAAUCGACUCUACUGGCAGUAAAACAUGUUUCCUAAAAAGGUCGCCAAAGAGCAUAUUCUUCAGGUUUGCAUGCACUCUGCUUUCUGUGUCAGUGCGUAAUGUAAUAAAAACCCAACGGUGCCUUCCAUGACCGCAUCCGCCCAGCUGUAGUCAUUCUGCAUGAGAGUCAUGACCGCAUCCCCAGAUACAUACGCAGGAGGAGAAAACAACAUUUCAUGAACAAAAAACGGUGAUAAUGAAGGAGUCUUCCAAAAGGGGUGACUUUGUUCCCCAGGGGGUACUCAGCAACGUCCGACUCACUUCCGUUCGUAUGAUCCUCUCUAGGUCCACCCAUGUUGCUGCAAAUGCUAUGGUUUCAUUCUUUUUGACGGCUCAGUAAUAUUCCAUUGUAUAUAUGGACUACAUCUUCUUUAUCCAUUCCUCUGUCGAUGGACACUGAGGUGGUGUCCAUGAACACAUUUUUAAACUAUUUUCAUUUUCAUUGUACACCAGAUGUUAACCUAGGGUGGGUGGUUUUUCUUCUUUGUUUUGUGUUUUCUCCUCUUUGAGAAUUGCCCUUGAUGCAUGAGAUGUCACUUAAAGGAGGAAGGAGGGGAGAGCACGUCCUAGUCCUGCAAGGAAGGUGCCGUGCCACCUCACUGUUAUGACAUCUUGACAUUUUCAGCACUGUACAGAGUUCCCCAUAUAGCUCAGGGGUUAAGGACCUGGUGUGGUCUCAGUGAGAAUGCAGGUUCGAUCCCUGGCCUCGCUCAGUGGGUCAAGGAUCUGGUGUUGACACAGGUAGAGCGUAGAUGACAGAUGCGGCUCAGAUCUGGCGUGGCUGUGGCUGUGGUGUACACCGGCAGCUGAGCUGCAGCUCUGAUGUGACCUCUAGCCUGGGAACUUCCACAUGCCGCGGGUGUAGCUUUUCAAAAGAAAAAAACAAAACAAACCCAAGCCCUGUAGGAUGCAAGCCUCUAGUCCUAGACAGAAUUAAGGGAAAUAUUCCUCCACGCGAGACGGUUUCCGAUCCUUCCCUUGGAGAAAGGGAUGCACACAUAUUCGAUGCUAUAAAAUUAGGGAAAAGCUCUUCCAAGGAGGAGUCCUCUGCUCAAGCCCACGCCGAUGUUCGGGAACGCUGCUCGAGGGCCUUGCAAGGGUCUUGGCCACGUGUGUGCUGAGUGGCCUCAGGCCCCGUGGGUCCGGGAGUGGACGGGCCCUUUGCUGAAACCGCGGGCGGCUCUUGCGUGAGGCGCGCCAGGCUCCGUGCUGUGCGGAAGGCGCGGGGCGGUUCCCCUGCAGCUGCGCUGUGGUCCCGAUGCUCUUGGGUGUCCACGGGGUAGGACCCAGACGUCCACAUCUCAAGCAUCCCAGCAGAAAGGCUUCAAACAUCGUAGUUUCACGCCGGGCUAUCAAGUAAGAGGGGAUGCUAAGGGGACCCAUGACAGAGUCCAAACCGAUCUUCUCCCCCCAACAAAAACUCUGCUCUUGUCCAUCAUCCCUCGGAAACACACACCCUGGGUAUUUGUGGCAACAGGUGGAUCAUGCUACAAUCAGCCCCAAAGGAUGCUCUGUCGUGUAGAUGAGCAAAAGCUCAAUUCGUAUCCGCUUUUAAAAAUACAUAGGCGUUCACGCUGUGGCCCAGCAGUCACGAACCCGAUGAGUAUCCGUGAGGACAUGAGUUCGAUCCCUGGCCUCGCUCAGGGGGUUAAGGAUCUGGUGUUGCCGCGAGCUGCGGUAUAGGUUGCAGACGUGGCUCGGAUGCCACAUUGCUGUGGCUGUGGUGUAGAGCGGCAGCUGCAGCUCUGAUUCAACCCCUCGCCUGGGAACUUCCACAUGUUGGGGAUGUACCCCUAAAAAAACCAAAAAAAAAAAAGAAAAAGAACAUAUAUUAAUUUGGAGGGGCCACGCCCACGGCAUGUGGAAGCUUCUGGGCUAAGAACUGAACCAGCACCACAGAAGCAACCCAAGCCUCGACAGUGACCAUGCCGGAUCCUUAACCUGCUGGGCCACUUGAGAGCAACUCUAUUUUUUAAUUUUUAAAAAAUUUUGUUUCUGAAAUUAUUUUAUUUUUAUUUUUUUGUCUUUUCUAGGGCCGCACCUGCAGCAUAUGAGGUUCCCAAGCUAGGGGUCUAAACUGUCACCCUACACCACAGUCACAGCCACACCAGAUCCAAGCCGCGUCUGUGACCCACACCACAGCUCAGGGCAACGCCGGAUCCUUCACCCAUGGAACGAGGCCAGGGAUGGAACCCACAACCUCAGGGUUCCUAGUCGGAUUUGUUAACCAUGGAGCCACGACGGGAACUCUGAAAUCAUUUUAGAUUUAGAGGACAGUUGCACAGCCUCAAGUUAUAGGAAGUUCCCAUACACCCCUUAGCAGGUCUUGCGCACGUUGCCAUUUCGCAUACCUGUGCUACACCGAUCCAAACUUACACAUGAGGAACACUGGCGAGUUCCCUUGUGAUGCAGAAGGGUAAGGAGCAGGCACUGUCUCUGCUGCAGCUUGGGGCAGUGCUAUGGCGCAGGGUCAGCCCCUGGCCUGGGAACAUCCAUGUGCUGUGGGCAUGGCCAAAAAAAAAGAAAAAAAAAAAGAAGCUGACCUUGAUAGAGUAGUAUUAUAUUACAGAUGUUACUCAAAUCUCAUCUAUUCUCUACAAUAAGAAAGCUAAAAAUUUACUUGUAAAUAUGUAAACGUCUUCCCCAAAUGUUACCUGCAAAAGAAGUGAGAAAGGCAGUGUGGCGGGAAAGGCAUUCACAUGUCCCCACUCUGGCUCGGCUAAGGAUGGCUUUAUCCGAGCCUCCUACGCUCUGCCCCUGGGGGUUGUCGAGGGGACCUGGGGGAGCCGUGUACAUUUCUGCAGACAGGCAUCCCCAUUGCUCCAGAGCAGAGGAUCCAUUUAACUUUUCUGGGAGACUGGGAACCCCCUGGACCAUCGCACAAAAAAACGCUGCGGGCUUCCUGCUCAGGUGUUGCGGCCAAGGGGGACACGGAUGGUGGGAACCAAGCCGCCCCUGGGAAACUACAACAUCGCUGCAAACAAUACAAUGCCAAGUCGGAAAGAUAAGUGCCAUCUGUGUCAGAGCCUGGAUCUUUCUGGUUCCUUGUGGCUUUUGUCCUUCCCCAAGAGUGGACUGUGAUGAAGUCGGUUCUUCUGGACCCACCACACCUACAACGUACAAACCAAUGGCCAUUGCCCGGCGCUGUGCAAGGGACAGCGGUUUGCCAUUAAAGCUACCAACUGCCUGUCCUCAGCUGUGGUCGUCUCCAUCCCGCCCUGCCCCUCAUUCUCUGCAGCCUGGACGUUUCACGUCCUAGCCCACAGAGGUCACCCCGGCGGACGUGCCAAAUUACAUUUAUAUUGGAUCAAUUUGGAGCAAAGAACAGUCUUUCCAAAAAUAUCCUCUGUUUGGUUUCGCUCUUUCUUCGGCCAACUGUCUUUGCUGCAGGAAGCCGCCCACUCCUGGCUUUUCUUAACAUCAGCAACUUUUUACCCAGGAAGGUCUCAUCAAAAACAGGCAGCAUUUUCUCCAGGAUGGAGGGGAAGAUUUUCCUGUUUGUUUCGCCUGCGGAUUCCAAGAAAACGUAUCUCUAAGCUGAACGAACAGACGAGGGUCGGCCGAAACGGGCUGUAUCUUGGGCACCAGGUGGCACACAUGGGAGGAGAGAAAUUCACAUCCUUGGUCACAGAUACAAGGAAACAUUCCCGUAAAAAUAUCCACCAACUUCUAGGGAAAAUUUUCGGAAGCAUGAAAUGGGUACAGAACUCCAAAGGUCCUCAAACAAUUGCAGUGGGCAGAAGGCAACCUCCUUGCCAAAGCGCUGAAGGACUUAAAACGUUUAGAAUUUGGCAGAUAGAACUAUACCAAAGGCAGUGUGGACAGGCUGCAAGAAAGACCCACCUGCAGGAGAGGCACCCAGAUACCCAAAGGCGAGAACAAUGGUAUGUACUUUCUGGAUGAAGACAACAUCAGCUAAGCCUCCUUUAACCAAUUCUCUCAAGAGAGGGGAGAAAAAAAGAGCAAAACUUCUGAUCCAAAGCAGGCGGGGGAAGGGGAGAGGAAACAGCUAUUUCUGUCUUUCUUUUUUUAAUACAUUUUUUUCCCAUGACCAUGAGAUGACUUUUUAUUUAAUAGCUCAUCUCUAAUUUCUUAUUUAUUUCCUUUUUACAGCCACACCUGUGGAAUAUGGACGUUUCUGGGCUUGUGGUCAAAUCCGAGCUGCAACGUACAGGCUUAUGUCACAGCCACGGCAACACGGGAUCCAAGCCCCCUCUGUGACCUACACCGCAGCCUGUGGCAACACUGGAUCCUUAACCCACUGAGCAAAGCCAGGGAUGGAACCCACAUCCUCAGGGAUACCAGUUGUGCUCUUCACCUGCUGAGCCGCAACGGGAGCUCUGUAAUGGUCGUUUCUGAAACACAUCUAUUUUGAAAGCAUGAGAGAGAUUCUGCCAUCAGAGGACGGGGUGCGUCGUCGUGGUGCAAACGCCUCCGAUAUCUGAAAGCGUAAGGAGGUGGCACAUCUCAGAUCACACCCUGCAGAACACAACAGCGGAGAGGCAGAAGACGCACUCAGGGAACGCAGGACCCAAAGGAGAUGUCCAAUGCAGAGAACAGGGUAAGAGGUGUGCUGUUUUGUCCUCAUGGAGAGGAGAGAUCCAGCCAGCGCACAUACACGGAAUCACCCCGCACAACAAGCCUAUCCAACCAGAACACUAAACCGAAGAUAUACUCAAAGAAAACUUUCCUGGGCGUUCCCAUCGUGGCUCAGCAGAAAUGAAUCUGACUACCAUCCAUGAGGAGGCAAGUUCAAUCCCAAGCCUUGCUCCACGGGUUAAGGAUCUGGCAUUGCUGUGGCUGUGGUGCAGGCCAGUGGCUACAGCUCUGAUUCAAUCCCUAGCCUGGGAACCUCCAUAUGCUGCAGGUGUGGCCCUAAAAAGAUUUAGAAAAGGGGGGGGGGACUUUUCUGAGUUGGCAGACAUGGGUCCACAGAUGAAAGCUACCCGUGGAAUUGAAAGCAGCAGCAACAAUCUGUUAAUUCUGAAGCUGAGUUCAAAAUGCAAAAAUAACCAUGAUGUUUUUCUCUGACUCCGUUCACUUCCGAGGACACUGUGAGAAAAAGAACGUGUAUCUAUGUACGACUGGGUCCCUGUACACUGUACAGCAGAAACUGACAUAAGCUAUAAAUCAGCUAAAUGCUAAUAAAAAAUAAAAAUAUAGGAGGUCCAUUCUAGAUCAAACAUCCAUGGAAAAGGAGGGAUGGAAAAACCAACGUAAAAAAAUAAAAAGGCAGUCGGUGCAGUUCCCAUUGAGGCGCAGUGGGUUAAGCACCCACCGUAGUGUCUGUGAAGAUGUGGGUUUGAUCCCUGGCCUCGCUCGGUGGGUUAAGGAUCUGGCAUUGCCGCAAGCUGCCGUGUAGAUCACACGUGCGGCUCAGAUCUGGUGCUGCCGUGGCUGUGGGGUAGGCCAGCAGCUGCAGCUCCAAUUCAACCCCUAGCCUGGGAACCUCCAGAGGCCGCAGGC
rnacentral:lncRNA from 1 species